UACGGGGGGGGCAAGCGUUGUUCGGAAUUACUGGGCGUAAAGGGCGCGUAGGCGGCCAACUAAGUCGGAUGUGAAAUCCCCAGGCUUAACCUGGGAACUGCAUCCGAUACUGGAUGGCUUGAAUGCGGGAGAGGGAUGCAGAAUUCCAGGUGUAGCGGUGAAAUGCGUAGAUAUCUGGAGGAAUACCGGUGGCGAAGGCGGCAUCCUGGACCGACAUUGACGCUGAGGAGCGAAAGCUAGGGGAGCAAACGGG
rnacentral:rRNA from 1 species